rnacentral:sRNA from 1 species
GGACCACUCCUGCGAGGGAGCCUAAGGCCAUACGGACAGCCGGGUCCACUGCCGA